GAGUGAUUUUAAAUAACCAGACAUUUAGUCGCUUUGACUUCAUAUCAUUUCAGACAAAAUCGUCUUGGUCCACUGGUUCUGUAUUUAGUAUCCCAAUGCGCCAGCAGAGAUGGGAGUCACACACCUAGGUAUUAUGAGCCUUCUGUAAUAAAAUUCAGAGGGACUUGGCAUAUACCAGAUGAAAAGAUGGACAGUUUUUAUCUGUUUCUGACAGCAUGAAUAAGCAAAACUAACUGAAUAUUCUUCGGCAAAAUACAUAAAAUUUUCUUAAUUGUGCUCCAGACUUCCCCUACUUGUAAAAGUUGCAGCUAUUGAAAUAUAUCGCUCUUUUGCUUAGGUAUAUCAAAAUGUACAUCUUUUUCAUCUCAUACCAGUGCAAGGGCAACCAUCCUGAGGGUUUUUGAGCAGCUUUACACCACCACGUAUGUUUAUUUCGAAUGAUGUGUUUUAAGCCAGUCUUUAUAUCGUCAACGUUUUCGUCCUUUUGCCAGGCCUUUUCUUUUAUGGAGUAGAAAACGAUACUAUUUCGCAGAUUUAAGGCACCCGACCCCAGGGCCUCCACAUAAUAAGGGUCCCCACAAUAAAGACUUCUGAAAAAAUCUUUCAAUCCAU